rnacentral:lncRNA from 1 species
GCCAUCUUAGAAAAGGGAAUAACUCAAAAGAGAGAGAAAAAAUAGAAAAAAGUUUCCAAAGAUAUAGACAACGAAUUGUUAAAAAGAUGCAAGACAAUUGUAUUUGCUUUAAGACCACUCAAAGAUAAUAUUUUAGAGAAACAUAACAGUAAAAACAAAUAAAAAACACGAAGUGAUAAUAGAGGAGAAUAUUCAUAGAGGUCAAAGAGGCUUCACAUCAU